rnacentral:rRNA from 1 species
CCUACGGGCGGCUGAACCAGCCAAGCUUCGUGAGUGAAGAAGGUACAGCGUAUCGUAAACCUCUUUUGUCAGGGAACAAAGGCGGGGACUAGUCCCCGGAUGAGGGUACCUGAAGAAAAAGCAUCGGCUAACUCCGGGCCAGCAGCCGCGGUAAUACGGGGGAUGCGAGCGUAAUCGGGAUUUAUUGGGUUAAAAGGGUGCGCAGGCGGCCUGUUAAGUCAGCGGUAAAAGCCCGGGGCUAAACCCCGGCGAGCCGUUGAAACUGGCGGGCUGGAGUUGGAGAGAAGUACGCGGAAUGCGCGGUGUAGCGGUGAAAUGCGUAGAUAUCGCGCAGAACCCCGAUUGCGAAGGCAGCGUACCGGCUCCACACUGACGCUGAGGCACGAAAGCGUGGGUAUCGAACAGGAUUAGAUACCCUGGUAGUC